rnacentral:rRNA from 1 species
UACGAAGGGUGCAAGCGUUACUCGGAAUUACUGGGCGUAAAGCGUGCGUAGGUGGUUUGUUAAGUCUGAUGUGAAAGCCCUGGGCUCAACCUGGGAAUGGCAUUGGAAACUGGCUGACUAGAGUGCGGUAGAGGGUAGUGGAAUUCCCGGUGUAGCAGUGAAAUGCGUAGAUAUCGGGAGGAACAUCUGUGGCGAAGGCGACUACCUGGACCAGCACUGACACUGAGGCACGAAAGCGUGGGGAGCAAACGGG